rnacentral:rRNA from 1 species
GACGAGGGAUCCUAGCGUUGUUCGGAAUCAUUGGGCGUAAAGCGGGUGUAGGUGGCUUUGUAAGUCAGGUGUGAAAGCCCAGGGCUCAACCCUGGAAGUGCAUUUGAUACUGCGAAGCUUGAGUGCUGGAGAGGUAAGUAGAAUUCCUGGUGUAGUGGUGAAAUACGUAGAUAUCAGGAGGAAUACCGGAGGCGAAGGCGGCUUACUAGCCAGACACUGACACUCAGACCCGAAAGUGUGGGGAUCAAAC